AGAAAGACCGAGAGCGAGAUAAAGAUAGGGGGCUUUCUGUCGAGCUUCGACCAUUAUUGAUGAGCGCUGGUGAACCAUUGCAGGUAGGCAACGUCUCCCUAUGCUCCAUCAGUGACGAACGAUAGCGGCGAUGCAACUUUGAAGCCCGAUUUCAACAAUUCAGAGAUCUUGAUUUGGAGUCUAUAAGGUCAAUUGAUUUUUUCUUCGAUGUUCUAUAUUUUCUUCUCAAUUUAGUUGAUUAAUCUUCAGUUUUAAUUUUUUAAUUUUCUUUUUCGUUGGGUGUUUUAGUAAUGGAAUAUGAUCUGCAGAGAUGAUGAUGAGACAGAGAGGGGGCUUUUUGGCAAGCUCCAUCCAUUGCAGAUGUAUGCAGGUGAACCGAUGCAGGCAGAUAAUAUCUCCUGACUUCUGGUGGUCCAUCAAUGACAAACGAUGGCGGCGCCGAGACUUUGAAGAUCUUUAUUUGGAGUCUCAUGUUAACUGAAUGUGUAGUUUUGAAUGAGUUUAUAUGUGCUAGCAUAGGUUGAAUGGCUCCACAUAUGUAGUAAAAAAAAAAAUUUCCAUUUCAAAAUACAGGAACAAAAAGAAUUUUAGGAUACUUGCGAUGCUAACUGAAUACAUGGCCGAAAUUAUUAUAAAAUUGCGGAUCUAAAAUAAUAAUAAAAA
rnacentral:lncRNA from 1 species